rnacentral:piRNA from 1 species
UUCCCUAUUAGAAACAGAGUGUUGUGGGCGU